rnacentral:lncRNA from 1 species
CUCCUCCUCCUCCUCCUCCUCCUCCUCCUCCGGCUGUUCCCGCUGGAUUUUCCAGCAGCCCGCAGCUCGGCGCUUCCACGGGAGCAUCUCCCUCCUCCACCAUUGUUCCCGGUCCCACCUGCUCCCGAUCCCCCUGUGCCCCCAGGCUUCGGGAGCGAGCCCCGGCACGCGGGAUGUUGUUUUUAGCAGCCUGACAGAUGCCAAACCUGAGCGCUGCGCUUGAUAAACCCAAGGUAGAUGUUGUCCUGCUUCCCUGCUUUUUCCUGGAGCUGGGGAUGGAACAGUGGGACAGGAAUUGCUGUUGGAGCACAGGAUGGAUCCAGAGGCUUGGAGCCACCCCCAUGUCCCUGCCCAGAGGUGACAGCGUGGGAGGAGAGGCAGAAACUUCCCUCAAAAGACGUGGAGAGGCAGGAAAAGCGGCAGGAGAAGCUCCAGAGGGAACUCCCUGGUUGCCAGGAAUGCCGAGAACGUUAUUAUCCUGCAAAAACCAGGAAAACCCGGAUGGUUCUGGGAGCCUACGUCCUGCCCGUGAACUCUGCUCACCGAGGGCGUUCCAUGUCUGUGUUUUAUGACUGAAAACCUCCUGGAUCUGUUUUUCCCAUUGCUGUUUUCCAC